rnacentral:rRNA from 1 species
UGCUCAGGACGAACGCUGGCGGCGUGCUUAACACAUGCAAGUCGAGCGGUAAGGCCUUUCGGGGUACACGAGCGGCGAACGGGUGAGUAACACGUGGGUGAUCUGCCCUGCACUCUGGGAUAAGCUUGGGAAACUGGGUCUAAUACCGGAUAUGACCACAGCAUGCAUGUGUUGUGGUGGAAAGAUUUAUCGGUGCAGGAUGGGCCCGCGGCCUAUCAGCUUGUUGGUGGGGUAAUGGCCUACCAAGGCGACGACGGGUAGCCGACCUGAGAGGGUGACCGGCCACACUGGGACUGAGACACGGCCCAGACUCCUACGGGAGGCAGCAGUGGGGAAUAUUGCACAAUGGGCGGAAGCCUGAUGCAGCGACGCCGCGUGAGGGAUGAAGGCCUUCGGGUUGUAAACCUCUUUCAGCAGGGACGAAGCGUGAGUGACGGUACCUGCAGAAGAAGCACCGGCUAACUACGUGCCAGCAGCCGCGGUAAUACGUAGGGUGCGAGCGUUGUCCGGAAUUACUGGGCGUAAAGAGUUCGUAGGCGGUUUGUCGCGUCGUUUGUGAAAACCCGGGGCUCAACUUCGGGCUUGCAGGCGAUACGGGCAGACUUGAGUGUUUCAGGGGAGACUGGAAUUCCUGGUGUAGCGGUGAAAUGCGCAGAUAUCAGGAGGAACACCGGUGGCGAAGGCGGGUCUCUGGGAAACAACUGACGCUGAGGAACGAAAGCGUGGGUAGCAAACAGGAUUAGAUACCCUGGUAGUCCACGCCGUAAACGGUGGGCGCUAGGUGUGGGUUCCUUCCACGGGAUCUGUGCCGUAGCUAACGCAUUAAGCGC